rnacentral:lncRNA from 1 species
CCGAGGGAUCCUGCCCCUCGAUCUUUAGCCUCCUCAUCAUAGUAGAGUUUGGGUACUCUCCGAAUUUUGAUGCGAAUGACAUCGCACCCAACCGACCUACCAGCUGAGACUCUUCCUCCGAUGGGAGCCCCAUCGGACGUCAAGGUCCAAAACACCAGGAAGGACAUCGACGAUUAUCGAGUUGCAUGAUCUUUACUCCGAUCAGCCAUGACACUAGCCAACGUCGAAGCCUCCGAUGCUGAAGGUGGUGCUUUCCAAGUUCAUGACUUGUAUGACUCUCUUCUUCGGGUAAGUGACGAUCUUCGGCCAAUUUUUGACUCUUCUCUUUCUCCUAUUUAAUACUUGCUGAUCUUUCUCUCUCUUCUUCUCUCAUUUUUUUUAGCUCAUCUAUCAUGUAGACCACUUCGUGUAGGUGAUCUGGAAAGCUCGGC